GUGGGGAAUAUUGGGCAAUGGGCGAAAGCCUGACCCAGCAACGCCGCGUGAAGGAAGAAGGUUUUCGGAUCGUAAACUUCUAUCCUUGGUGAAGAUAAUGACGGUAGCCAAGAAGGAAGCCCCGGCUAACUACGUGCCAGCAGCCGCGGUAAUACGUAGGGGGCAAGCGUUGUCCGGAAUGAUUGGGCGUAAAGGGCGCGUAGGCGGCCCGGUAAGUCUGAAGUGAAAGUCCUGCUUUUAAGGUGGGAAUUGCUUUGGUUACUGUCGGGCUUGAGUGCAGGCGAGGUAAGUGGAAUUCCCGGUGUAGCAGUGAAAUGCGUAGAGAUCGGGAGGAACACCAGUGGCGAAGGCGACUUACUGGACUGUAACUGACGCUGAGGCGCGAAAGUGUGGGGAGCAAACAGGAUUAGAUACCCUGGUAGUCC
rnacentral:rRNA from 1 species